AUCAGCCUCUCAAAGCCUGUAUCUAUGGUGAUUGACUUGAUCAGUUUUAAAAAUAGGCUGACAGUAGCAAUGGUCUGAUUAAGCCUUUGUCUAAGAGGGGCAAGAGAGAUGCUGAGUGGGAAAAUGGUGCCUCGGCUGAUGACUUGAGAUAGACCCCUGGAUCCCACAUAGUGAAAGAAGAAAACAGACUCCUGUCUCAUGUUGCCCAGGCUAGCCUCCAUCUCUGGAUGUGUGGAAGGAUGAUCUUAAAUUUCAGAUCCUCCCACUUCUACCUCUCGAGUGUUGGAGUUACAGCCAUGUACUGCCAUAGUUGGUUACACAGUGAUGGGGAAUCAAACCAGAGCCUGAUGCACGCUGGAUAUGCACUCUACAGCCAAGGUAUAUCACCAGUCCCAUCAAUAUUUUCUUAAAUUGUCUUUGAAAUGCCCUGUCAUCAAGAAUUAAGGAAUACAAAAAAAGUGGGUGUGGAGUAAGGAAACUACCAGAAUCUUUCUCUUAUUGGAUCAACUAAACUUUGAUGUAUUUUCCUCACCUCUAGCCCUGAGGUAAACUUGUAGCACUGGUCUUGAUACACAGUAAGUGCCCAGUCAGUGUCAGCUCUCUGAUACAACAAAAGGUUACUCAUUAUUCUCUGAGUGGCUCUUCCCAACUAAGAGACACUGAUUGCAGCCUGUCUUUUAAAUCACAGCGUAGUCUUUGGGUUUUUUUGUUUCUACUUCUUCACAUUGGACUUUCUGGAAACUUCCUCCAGUGUUCACCUCUCUUGGCCUAGGGCAUCUGGACACUUUACCUGGGCAGCCAGGUGUCAGUCCCAUAGGGCGUGUUGGACUCAUUCCUGGAUUGGCAGGUUUCUGAUUUCUUCACCGGAUCACUCCGGAGCUGGCUCUUUUUCCAGUGGCUUCCUGUCACCUGAAACGAGAGCUCACAGCUUCAGGAGGAAGGUAGAAAUUUGAGGUGGAGAAGGGCGAGGCAGAUGCAAGAUGCAAUUACAUCCUGCCUCCUCCACCCCUCAACCGCCCCACCCUACGCCUGGGGAGAAGUCUAGAGUCAGGGUGGGGAGC
rnacentral:lncRNA from 1 species